GGGGAGGGGACUGGACAGGGAUCGGGUAGGGUGGGGCCGGGCUGAGCCUGCUCUGCGGGUCCCGGACCCCAGCGCCACCGUGCGAGAGGCCGGGGUCCAGGCCAGGCCGGGGAACGGUGUGUGUACCCGGUGGGGUGGGAGGGCUGGGCAGCCCUGGGACGAGCUCUGUGGCCUGGGACCAGGUCUGCCUCCGCAGAGCAAGUCCUGGACGGACGGCUGCUUGAGCCCACAGGUCGUGCGUCCUUUGACAGCAGCCUCCGGCCGGGAGGCACCAGCUCUUCGAACAAUGUUUAAAAGUCUCUUCUGUUCAUCCUACCGGGGUGCCGUCUCCUGCCGGUCUUUUCA
rnacentral:lncRNA from 1 species